UUAAAGGAAUUGACGGGGGCCCGCACAAGCGGUGGAGCAUGUGGUUUAAUUCGAUGAUACGCGAGGAACCUUACCUGGGCUUAAAUGUAGAGUGCAUGGGGUAGAAAUAUCUCUUCCCUUCGGGGCUCUUUGCAAGGUGCUGCAUGGUUGUCGUCAGCUCGUGCCGUGAGGUGUCGGGUUAAGUCCCAUAACGAGCGCAACCCUUAUCGUUAGUUGCCAGCGGGUAAAGCCGGGAACUCUAGCGAAACUGCCGGUGUAAACCGAGAGGAAGGUGGGGAUGACGUCAAAUCAGCACGGCCCUUAUGUCCAGGGCUACACACGUGUUACAAUGGCCGGUACAGAGGGCAGCUACCUGGAGACAGGAUGCGAAUCUCGAAAGCCGGUCUCAGUUCGGAUCGGAGUCUGCAACCCGACUCCGUGAAGCUGGAUUCGCUAGUAAUCGCGCAUCAGCCAUGGCGCGGUGAAUACGUUCCCGGGCCUU
rnacentral:rRNA from 1 species